rnacentral:rRNA from 1 species
UACGAAGGGGGCUAGCGUUGUUCGGAAUUACUGGCGUAAAGGCGCACGUAGGCGGAGUAUUUAAGUCAGGGGUGAAAUCCCGGGGCUCAACCCCGGAACUGCCUUUGAUACUGGGUAUCUCGAGUCCGAGAGAGGUGAGUGGAAUUCCGAGUGGUAGAGGUGAAAUUCGUAGAUAUUCGGAGGAACACCAGUGGCGAAGGCGGCUCACUGGCUCGGUACUGACGCUGAGGUGCGAAAGCGUGGGGAGCAAACAGG